rnacentral:rRNA from 1 species
UGGGGAAUUUUGGACAAUGGGCGAAAGCCUGAUCCAGCAAUGCCGCGUGUGUGAAGAAGGCCUUCGGGUUGUAAAGCACUUUUGUCCGGAAAGAAAUCCUUGGCUCUAAUACAGUCGGGGGAUGACGGUACCGGAAGAAUAAGCACCGGCUAACUACGUGCCAGCAGCCGCGGUAAUACGUAGGGUGCAAGCGUUAAUCGGAAUUACUGGGCGUAAAGCGUGCGCAGGCGGUUUGCUAAGACCGAUGUGAAAUCCCCGGGCUCAACCUGGGAACUGCAUUGGUGACUGGCAGGCUAGAGUAUGGCAGAGGGGGGUAGAAUUCCACGUGUAGCAGUGAAAUGCGUAGAGAUGUGGAGGAAUACCGAUGGCGAAGGCAGCCCCCUGGGCCAAUACUGACGCUCAUGCACGAAAGCGUGGGGGAGCAAACAGGAUUAGAUACCCUGGUAGUCCACGCCCUAAAACGAUGUCAACUAGUUGUUGGGGAUUCAUUUCCUUAGUAACGUAGCUAACGCGUGAAGUUGACCGCCUGGGGGAGUACGGUCGCAAGAUUAAAACUCAAAUGAAUUGACGGGGUCAUAGCUG